GUAGUACUCCCUCCGCCCGGAAAUACUUGUCAUCAAAAUGAAUAAAACGGGAUGUAUCUAGAUGUAUAUUAGUUCUAGAUACAUCUUUUUAUCCAUUUUGAUGACAAGUAUUUUCGGACGGAGGGAGUAGUUG
rnacentral:pre_miRNA from 1 species